rnacentral:rRNA from 1 species
UACAGAGGGGGCAAGCGUUAUUCGGAAUUAUUGGGCGUAAAGGGCGCGUAGGCGGCCUGACAAGUGGAUGGUGAAAUCCCUCGGCUUAACCGAGGAACUGCCGUCCAGACUGUUUGGCUUGAGACCGGGAGAGGUGAGUGGAAUUCCCAGUGUAGCGGUGAAAUGCGUAGAUAUUGGGAGGAACACCAGUGGCGAAGGCGGCUCACUGGACCGGUACUGACGCUGAUGACGCGAAAGCGGUGGGGAGCAAACGGG